ACUCCUACGGGAGGCAGCAGCAAGGAAUUUUCCGCAAUGGGCGCAAGCCUGACGGAGCAACGCCGCGUGCGGGAUGACGCCUUUCGGGGUGUAAACCGCUGUUCGUGGGGACGAAGCACUGACGGUACCCACGGAGGAAGGCCCGGCUAACUACGUGCCAGCAGCCGCGGUAAUACGUAGGGGCCGAGCGUUGUCCGGAGUUACUGGGCGUAAAGCGUGCGCAGGCGGCGUAUCGCGCCCGGCGUGAAAGCCCCCGGCUCAACCGGGGAGGGUCGUCGGGGACGGGUACGCUUGAGGGCAGCAGGGGCUGGUGGAAUUCCCGGUGUAGUGGUGAAAUGCGUAGAGAUCGGGAGGAACACCUGUGGCGAAGGCGGCCAGCUGGGCUGCACCUGACGCUGAGGCACGAAGGCGUGGGGAGCGAACGGGAUUAGAUACCCCGGUAGUCCACGCAGUAAACGAUGCAGACUAGGCGUGGGGGGACUUGACCCCCUCCGUGCCGGAGCUAACGCGGGAAGUCUGCCGCCUGGGG
rnacentral:rRNA from 1 species